rnacentral:rRNA from 1 species
AACGAACGCUGGCGGCAUGCCUAACACAUGCAAGUCGAACGAAACCUUCGGGUCUUGUGGCGCACGGCUGCGUAACGCGUGGGAACCUGCCCUUAGGUUCGGAAUAACUCCCCGAAAGGGGUGCUAAUACCGGAUAAUGUCUUCGGACCAAAGAUUUAUUGCCGUUGGAUGGGCCCUCGUUGGAUUAGCUUGUUGGUAGGGUAAAAGCCUACCAAGGCGACGAUCCAUAGCUGGUCUGUGAGGAUGAUAAGCCACACUGGGGCUAAGACACGGCCCAGACUCCUACGGGAGGCAGGAGUGGGGAAUAGUGGACAAUGGGCGAAAGCCUGAUCCAGCAAUGCCGCGUAAGUGAUGAAGGCCGUAGGGUUGUAAAGCUCUUUUACCCGGGAUGAUAAUGACAGUACCGGGAGAAUAAGCCCCGGCUAACUCCGUG